GAAGGCCUGGACAAGGGAUGAGCUGUCUCCUUUAUGUAGUUUGAAUUUAACUUUUGAGUGAAAAGGCUCAAAUUAUUUAGUGGGACGAUAAGACCCUAUAAAACUUUAUAUAAGUUUAAUUUGGCUUACAAUUUGAGUGAAAAGUAGCUUUAUUAGGCUUAUAUUUCGUUGGGGAGAUGCAGAUAUAAUGUGAAACUGUCUAUUUAAUUUAAUAAUUAUAAUUAGUGUGUGAUCCUUCUUUGUGGAUUAAAAGCAUAAGUUACUUUAGGGAUAACAGCGUGUUUUUCUUUGAGAGUUCUUAUCGACAAGAGUAGUUGCGACCCUCGAUGUCGAAUUAAAAUUUCAGUUAGGUGUAGCCGCCUAGCUGGUAGGUCUGUUCGACCUUUAAAAUUUUACAUGAUUUGAGUCCAAUCCGGUGUGAGCCAGGUUGGUUUCUAUCUAA
rnacentral:rRNA from 1 species